rnacentral:rRNA from 1 species
CCUACGGGAGGCAGCAGUGAGGAAUAUUGGUCAAUGGGCGAGAGCCUGAACCAGCCAAGUCGCGUGAGGGAAGACGGUCCUAUGGAUUGUAAACCUCUUUUGCCGGGGAGCAAAAAGCGGUACGUGUACCGCAUCGAGAGUACCCGGAGAAAAAGCAUCGGCUAACUCCGGGCCAGCAGCCGCGGUAAUACGGGGGAUGCGAGCGUUAUCCGGAUUUAUUGGGUUUAAAGGGUGCGCAGGCGGCGAGUUAAGUCAGCGGUAAAAUUUCGGGGCUCAACCCCGACAAGCCGUUGAAACUGGCUUGCUUGAGUGGGCGAGACGUAUGCGGAAUGCGUGGUGUAGCGGUGAAAUGCAUAGAUAUCACGCAGAACUCCGAUUGCGAAGGCAGCAUACCGGCGCCCAACUGACGCUCAGGCACGAAAGCGUGGGUAUCGAACAGGAUUAGAUACCCGAGUAGUC